UACGUAGGUGGCAAGCGUUGUUCGGAAUUAUUGGGCGUAAAGGGCGCGUAGGCGGUUUGUUAAGUCGGCUGUGAAAGCCCGGGGUCAACCCGGAGGUCAGCCGAUACUGGCAGACUAGAGUACGGAAGAGGUAGCGUGGAAUUCCGGUGUAGCGGUGAAAUGCGUAGAGAUGUGGAGGAAUACCGAUGGCGAAGGCAGCCCCUGGGCAAUACUGACGCUCAUGCA
rnacentral:rRNA from 1 species